rnacentral:tRNA from 1 species
GGUAGAAUGGCUGAGAUUUAGGCGAUAAAUUGUAAAUUUAUUAAGGAGUGGAAGUUCUCUUCUACCA